GAGCCCGACACAAUACGGCCUGAGCCCAACAGAAUUCCCCUGAUCCCGACAAGUACAUUUUGAUUGACAGCUUUUUAAAAGCCCGAACCC